CCUACGGGGGGCAGCAGUCGAGAAUCUUUCACAAUGGGGGAAACCCUGAUGGAGCGACGCCGCGUGGGGGAAUGAAGGUCUUCGGAUUGUAAACCUCUGUUAUGUGGGAGCAAAUUAAUAAGAUAGUACCACAAGAGGAAGAGACUGCGAAAUCGGUGCCAGCAGCCGCGGUAAUACAGAGGGCUUAAGCGGUGUUCGGAAGCCCUGGGCGUAAAGCGUGCGUAGGUGGUUUCGGAAGUCGUGUGUGAAAGGCGCGGGCUCAACCGGCGGACGGCACAUGAUACUGCGAGACUAGAGUAAAGGAGGGGGAACCGGAAUUCUUGGUGUAGCAGUGAAAUGCGUAGAUAUCGAGAGGAACACUGGUUGCGAAGGCAGGUUACUGGACAUUAACUGACGCUGAGGCACGAAGGCCAGGGGAGCGAAAGGGAUUAGAUACCCGAGUAGUC
rnacentral:rRNA from 1 species